ensembl:lncRNA
UAUGGAGCCCACUGGUAAGAGACGCUGUUUCUGAAAAUAGAAACAUAGUGAACAUGAAAACCAAUAUGCUGCUUAGCCUGUUUGUAUUCAACGGUAGCAAUUUCGUGCCCAUGUACAGUUUUGUGAUUGCCAUUGUCUGACUCGAUCAGGUAAAGCCAGAUUAAUGAUAUUCUCUUAAAUCACAGAAAAUUAAAAUUCAGACAGUAGAGAUUUAAAAGUACAUUUCCAACAACUCUCCAGGUGCUUUCAAGCUGAAACAACACGAGCUGGCAUCUAUUCAUUGUUACAAAUGAGAAGAGGAUUCUGAAUUUGAGUUCAUUUGCUAGUUCCAUUCUUUUACUCGGAUAUGUUUCCUUUAAUUAUUGUAAUCAAAUUCUAAUUGAUCUUUGCUAAUAAUUAUGGACUCAGCGAGAAAGUUAGUCAUCUGUAAAGCCAAUUUACUGUGUAAUUCUAUUUGGGGCUUCAUUCUCCUCAGUGUAGAUGAUCAUUUUCUCCACCAGGCCGUGUGGGAAGAUCAUGCGUUGGGAGGUGUGUCUGUCUACCCAGAGCUAAUCUCAUAUAAUACCUGAUAGGUCAGCGUAAUAUUUAUUUAGAGCAAAAAAUAUAUGUUUCAUUGCCCUUUCUAUACUGUUAUUCUGCUAUACAACUGCUCAUUUUGAGUCACAUAAUCCUUCAUCUUGUCGCAGAGACAAUUCACCAAACUUUUCUUGCUUUGGGAGAGGAAGGAGGGCUCUAUUUGCCCUGUACUGAGUUCACUUAUCUACUUCUGUCACUUUUCCCUUUUGCUUCUUAGUUGGAGUGUGUGUGGACUCACAUGCCCGUGAAUGAGCAAAGGUAGGCUGCAGUGCAGCGAGUCUUUAGAGAGGGCGAAAAGUGAUCGGUAGAAGGAUCCUUUGUCAGAACGGCAGGUUGGGUGGUUUGUGGCAGGUUCCUCCGGUGGUCGGUGGUAGGAUCCUUUGUCUGAACGGCAGGUCCAGUGGUUGGUGGCAGGUUCCUCCGGUGGUCGGUGGUAGGAUCCUUUGUCAGAACGGCAGAUUGGGUGGUCGGUGGCAGGUUCCUCUGGUGGUCGGUGGUAGGAUGCUUUUCAGAACAGCACAAGGCAAUCUCAUUUGGGUAUCUAGGGACAUGAAUCCUCCUCCUCCUCCUCCUAAUGCAAAUUCAAUGUAAGGUUAAAUGAGUAUCUUUAUGACCAUUGCUCAACUUUAUUGAGAAUCUGGCACAACACAGCAACUUGCAAGUAGCGCAGCUGUAUGCAUGAUCAUGAAGAUACUCACUUAACGUUACAUGGAAUUUGUAUGAGGAGGAGGAGGAGGUUCAAUGUGCCUAGAUACCCAAUUGAGAUUGGCUUGUACUGUUCCGAAAAGGGAUCCUAACACUGACCACUGGAGGAAACAACCGACCAUACACCGACCGACCGGUAACAAUGUUGCAUCGGCUCCCUCUAAGUCCAGAGCAACAGCCUCAGCAAUAAAUCGGAGUUGCCGAGAGACGGCAGGUGCCCCUCUCCAAUGCGCUACGCUACAGUGCAUGACGAGAUGGAAAUGUGUCAUCCGUCCAAUCGAAUGUAAAUAUGGAAAUGAUUGCUCUUGUGAGUUAAUUAAAAAAGCAUAUUUAAGGUUCACUUGUAAAUGUCAGUCUGAUAAUAUUCUUUACAUUUUUUGACUGAAUGCUGCAGUAUGAUCGUUUAUGUAUAAAAAGCUCAGUACGUUACAUUACGUGUCAUUUAUCUGACGCUUUUAUCUGAAGCGACAAUUAGUGCAUUUCAACCAUAAGGACACAAACCCAGAAGAGCAAGAAACAAGAAAGUGCAAUUCCAUUAAAUAAGCCGAUUUACAACUUGAUAUAGCCAUUAUAAGUACUAUUUUAGUGCUAUGAUUUGUUAGUCUUUUUAUUCAAUGUAGAGUCUGAAGAGGUGUGUCUUUAGUUUGUUUCUCCAACAGGUCUGGAAACAAUACAAUGACAGCAUACACUCUGCACCGAGUGCACAGACAUUUGAAGGAUAGAAAUAAAUGUACUGUAUGUUUAGAAGAAGGGCAUCUGUUCCUCUCAUUUUACUUUUUCAAAUGCUGUGUGCACUUACAAAGCCUUGGUCGGUUAAUCACGGGAACUCUCUCGCUCUGUGCACUUGUCAUUGUCACAGUGGGAAAAAUAUUCUUAUUGUGCACUGUACAGAAUCAAGUAUGAUUUAGUAGCAAAAAUGCAUUAAGAAGAAAUCAAUGGAGCCUUUGUCCCAGCAUCACUCUGACAUCCUGUGUUUGUACAGACAGAACAUCAGCUGUUUGUGGAGAAUCAACAGUCGUUGCAGCUCAAAUAAUGCAAAUUACAUGAGGCAAAGCUUUUGCUUUGUAUAAAGGGAGUCGAUAACAGUUUACUGUUCCCAUCAUGAUCCUUCAGAAACUGUUUGGAAAAAAGUUUUCUUUGAAAUAAUUACCCAUAUUAUGGAUGCUAUUUAUAUUUGUAACAAUAUUACAAUUAUUAUUUAUUUACCUAUCACACAAGGUAAAGGGAUGACUACACAUGACAUGAAUUAAAACAUUUUUUUGCUGUGCGGCUCAUAGUGGGAAAACAGCAUCAUCGGCAUGCCACAGUUACUCCCAAAACUGGAGGAUCUGACUUCAACAAUCUCAAGGAUUGAUUCUGGUGUUUGAAUUGGACAAUAUUAGCUAACCAUUUCACAUUAUCAAUCAACAGGUUUUAGUAGUGUUAGUAGGAGUUAGUAGAAUGGCAUUCGACCUCUGCAGCUCAUCCAGAAUAGAGCAGCUUGACUAGUGUAUAUAUAUAUAUAUAUAUGUGUGUAUAUAUAUACACACACACACACACACAUUAUAUAUACACAUAUAUGUGUGUGUAUAUAUACGUGUGUAUAUAUAUAUAUAUUAGAUUAGAUUAGAUUCAACUUAUUUGUCAUUGCACAGUUACAAGUACUGAGGUAACAAAAUGCAGUUUAACAUCCAACCAGAGUGCAAAAUAGCAAAAGGUGCAGAGUAUGUAAAGUCGAAUAAGUGAAUAAAUAGAUAGAAAUAAAUAAGUGCAAAUGUUCAGUGGCUGGAGGAAGGUGUGUGGCAGUCAAGCCAGGGUGGAGGAGGGGAAGUACAG